rnacentral:rRNA from 1 species
GUCUACAGCCAUACCACCCUGAAUGUACCCGAUGUCAUCUGAUCUCAGAAGCUAAGCAGGGUCAGGCCUGGUUAGUACUUGGAUGGCAGACAAAUAUCUAGACACAAGAAAAAUGUAUACA